GUUUCCUCUGGAUCCACACCGCCUAUUUUUUGGACUGGAGAUAUGUUGUCAACAUUUCAAGCAGUUUGCUCGCUCCCAGGGAGAAGGGGUGCCACUUGGCCGGCGAAGUGCUGGCAGCAGGAAGUAUGCCAUCGACAUCAUCGAGAUCCGCUUGAAGGACGGUCGUUGUCCUCUCCAAGAGGAGGGGCCAGCUCAAGGAGGAUACUACUAUGAGAUGGUCUGAUACAUAGAAGACAGACUCAAGCCCCUCUAGGGAAGCAUCCACUAUCCCUGUUCUACUGAUUUCGCCGGAACGUCGACCGCCUAUGCUCCACCUGUGUGAUGACGAAGUGAUGCAUACGGAAACAUGUUUGAUAAGAAUCAGCGUGCCAAUAUGGAAUAUAAGGUGAGUGAGUAUUGUGUAU